rnacentral:piRNA from 1 species
UCAGACCGUGGAAGUGCAUUAGC